GAAAGAUUGUAGUUUGCGACUGUGGUCUUGGAAUUAUUACAGCUAAAAGUGUUGGUGCCCUUGGGUCAAUUGUCCUUUCAGGUGCAUUGAAUGAUGUCUCCUUGGUUGUCCCUGGUGCUGCAUCGAGUUUAAGUCUUCGACAGUUUAAUUUAUCUGAAAGCUAUAUCAACUCCACCAUGUUGUAAGUACAUAAAAAUCCAUGGCUUGUCCUCAUGUUUCAGCAGCAGCUGCUUGUGUCAAGUCACUUCAUCCCCAUUGGUCUCCGUCAGCAAUCAAAUCUACUCUUAUGACUAUUGGGGAUCGUGGAAUGAUGGAAACAGAACUUUUGAAGCUCCUUGGCAGAUGAAUGCAACCGAUGCUGUUCAUCAAGAUGCUGAAUUCUCUUACGGGGCAGGUCAUCUAAAUCCAGUAAAAGCCUCACAUCCUCGACUUGUGCAUGGCAGAUCAUAUUAAGUUGAUUUGCGGCUUGGAAAUUGAUCCAUCGACGCGAAAAAGGGUAUUUGCAGACAAUAGCACCUGCAUGAAAGUAGCAGCAAUAGAGUCUCAAGGAUCUAAAUUAUCCAACGAUGACUGCCUGGGUUCAAAAACAGAGAGAGUUUAUAGUUACAUUUCGAAGAACAGUUACUAAUGUUGGUCUCCCAGCUCAUCACAUAAAGCAGUUGUUACUAAGGCUUCUCUGUACAAUAUCUCUGUGAAGCCUAAAAUUCUAUGGUUUAAAGGCGUUGAACCAAAGAAAAUCCUUUACUGUGACCGCCAGAAGUCCAAUCGUUGUGUACGCAUAAGCCGUGAUCGCAUUUGACCUCCUUAAUUUACGAAGUCAGGCAAAUUGUUAGGUGCGCUGGCUGGAUGCCUAAUUUGUUCAAAUGUACUUCUGUUUCGAAGUUUGUACGAGAGCUGCUAAUGGUCCUUUUAGAGUAUAUACAUCGAAAUAGAUCGGGGAUAAUAUCCUUCCUAC